rnacentral:rRNA from 1 species
GACGCUCGGCGGCGUGCCUAACACAUGCAAGCUCAAGGAGAAGUUUCGCUUCGGUGAAAUGGAUACUGGCGCACGGGUGAGUAACACGUGGCUUAUCUGCCCUUUACACAGACAUAACUCAGGGAAACUUGAGCUAAUAUCUGAUGAGGCCUCCGGGUCAAAGCUUCGGCGGUAAAGGAUGAGUCUGCGUCUGAUUAGCUAGUUGGUAAGGUAAUGGCUUACCAAGGCGACGAUCAGUAACUGGUCUGAGAGGACGAUCAGUCACACUGGAACUGAGACACGGUCCAGACUCCUACGGGAGGCAGCAGUGAGGAAUUUUGGACAAUGGGGGAAACCCUGAUCCAGCGACGCCGCGUGUGGGAUGAAUGGGUUAUGCCCUGUAAACCACUGUCAGCAGAGAAGAAAAGGCUCCUUUGGAGCCCGGGACUGUAUCUGCAGAGGAAGGACCGGCUAACUACGUGCCAGCAGCCGCGGUAAUACGUAGGGUCCAAGCGUUAUCCGGAAUUACUGGGUAUAAAGGGUGCGUAGGCGGCCUUGUGCGUC